UUGAUCUUUCCUGCUGCCGCUUUCUUGCCGUGGCGGAUCGCGAGCGACGAUCGAACACGGAGCACGGACUCGCGAACGCGCGCCAGCAACCGGAAACAAAGUGUACCGCGAACUAACGCGGCAGAGGUGCUCGCAACUUUCGUGUGGAAUGUCCGGCGUGAGUUGCGUGGCCAACCGUCCGUGCGGCUAAGCCCAGGUGUAGCCGCUAAGGCGCCAUUGCCUGGCGUUGGCACGUUACCUGCUUCGCCGAUGGGAGGGGAGUCGUGGACGACACCGAGAGAGGGGGUUACCCUGGAACAGAGAAAGCUUGACUUUCGACCGGUCGACCGAACGAGAAAGAAAAUGGAGAGGGAGAGCCACGGGAGAGAGGCGAAUUACGGUAAGUGGGAAGCAAGUGGCCCGGAAACGAAAUACUCGACGCUGACACGCUGCGUUUCCUCAAAGCAUGGAAAUUGACCUCGAACCAGAAAAACGCCUCUUGUCCUGUGCUGCCGCUUCAAACGACCCGAGCCACCGUGACGAACCGCCAAACGAGCAUUUACCGACGCUUCUUCCAUAUUUUUCUCCUACACUUUAAACCGGUGGAGUGUCCGCGAAUUUCGCUGUACGUUGCGGGACUCGAAUUAUAAGAGAGUACAGUAAUUUUCGGCGUUUCCAAAUUCAUCCAGAGUCGUCGAAUCGAGAUAAGAAUCGUUUCGACGUCGCGUUACGACGUAGGAGAAUAUCGGUUUUUUCCGAACGAAUCGCUAAAGCUGGAGGACGUUAAUUUACAACGGCGGUAUUCACGUUGGAUUGUUGCACCGGCGACGAGACCACCUGUACCGCCAUUAAUUUCAUUCCUGGGGAAAGAUGGAUCUUACGGGGUUGCGCAAUGCUCGUUGUCUUUCUCUCCUUUAAUUACACAUCUUCCUGAGAAGGGUCCCAGACCAUUUCCGACCAUUCUACGUGUCCGAAGGUCUUCUCUUUUGUUACCGAGAUAUUCUUGAGAACGAUUCUUCUCCCGCGUGUGGCAAAAAACCGCGAGAUUCUAAUCGUUAAUUGCGCGAGUUUCGUCAACGGAGUCGCGGGAAAUGUUCCUCUCUCGGUUCGUCUUUUAGCGAAUCUGUCGAGUUCGCGGAACGGAUGUUUCGGCUUGAAAUUUCGGUCGUUUAAACGAAAGUACAUAACCCGUGUGCGAGAGGUCCGUUGUUCGACGCGAACGUACAAGGAGAGAUUGCAAAGCUUUUGACGCGUCGGACGGUGAAUUAUCCGACACACGGGUAAAUAACCGAGAAUCGUCUGCUAACUCAAUUUGCUGGUCCCCUGUCAAAUCCAAUUAACGGCGAGCUACUGGGCUUCCCGGAUAAUCGGCCGCUCCCCGCAAUUUAAUUCGACGCGUUUCACCCUCAAACGUUUUGAUUUCGAUUUACGGACAGCUUUCGAGAAGAUUAUCUUAGAAGUUCGUCACCGUUGCUGUCUACUUCUGGAUGCUGCUACACCGAACGCUGCUCGAUUUAUUUUCGACGAAACUUCGUUACACGAUUAUUUAUCGGUACCGAUGAAUUCGGCUCGUUUGCAACUGCCGAUAAAUCGAGUCAUCCAUCUUUCGAAAAACCCUAACGUAUGUAGCGUUAGGAGCGCGAACUUCGUUUACGAGUAGAAAAACAAAGAAUCGUAGCAGAUUUACGGAGUCGAACGUGACGUACAAUUUAUUUUUGGAAACGAGAUUUCGUAACAAAGAGUACAUUCGUAUUUGAUGAACGGUGUUGAAUAAGUUCGCGGUCGUAGAAGCAUUCAUCUCUUUCGGGGAAAUAUAGAUAAGACUCCCGUGAUAAGAGUUACAGUUACGACAGAAGGUUUCUGUUGCCCUCCGUUAAAUGUCACGUUUCUACGUACAGGUAGAACGAUAAACACGCGGGAAUAGCACUCAUUGCUUCGCGUUAUGCUUGUUAUCGCUAACCGUGUCGCGAAAAAUGAACUAUUCUCGGUCAUUUCUCUCUAGUCGAUGUUCCUCUUUCCUUCUCUUUAUUCCUCUCGUGGCUUCGUUCCCGCGGUGCUUUUAUCGAAUAAUUCCUCGUUAGCAUUUCUACCAACAACGCCCUUUUCCUUCGUACAAAAUCGUUAUGUAUUACUGCCAUAAUUUCACUCGGUCCUAACGAUCCGAAAUGUUUCGAUCGAGUUCUCGUUCUAAUUAAACAAAAAACGAGGACAGCUGGCAUACAGGAAGGAAAAGAAAGAUCUAAGAGGAGGCGAAAGACACGGGGGUUAGUUACGUAACGAGACGGUGCGUCGUGUUUAUAAUUAGUCGCAAACUAUUUGGAAAAACGAAACCGAGCGUGUUGGAGGCCAUUGUCCGUGCACGCGUGUAUCGAGCACGUCAAUAAAAACUGUUUAUUCGUAACAACGAUUACCGUUAUCGCGUUUACAGAGUCCCUCUUUCAGAUUUGUUUGAUUCGUCGCUGGUUGCCAGUGUCCCGCUGAAAAAUCGAUUUUAAUUAAAACGCAAUUUAUUAGAGUAACCCGCGCAAAGAGCGGAACCGCGGGCCACGCGACCGAACGCGCCAUGCAAUUAUUUAAAUUAGCGGCCGUAGUUAUUUUUCGAAUCAAUAUUUCCCGUUGUACGCUAUAACUCGUUGAUUUCGCGUACCUACCAUCGAAUACCAAUCGGGAUUCGAUGGAAUUGCUCUUCGCUUGUGGACCGUUACGGGUCACGCCUUUGUACGCCACGGACAUUUAAUUGUUUCGUCAAUACGUCAUCAUGAUAUUGCAUGCGUUUCGAUUAAACGAUACGUUUAUAAUGUAUACGUUUGUGUUUGGAGUUGAUAAGCUUCCGUCAUUACGAUAACUGAUUUCAAUUUACAUCGUGCUAUGGAUUUUUUUAGACCAUCCAUACAGUACCGCUUAACGUCCUGCAAGCGGCACAUGCAC